rfam:Canis lupus familiaris chromosome 21, whole genome shotgun sequence.
AGGGGGAGGCGCUGGAUCUUGGGCUGUGUCCCUGGAGCACUGUGCUCCCAGGCCUGAGCUGUUGGAAUCGUGCUCUAGGCCUCCCAGCCCCCU